rnacentral:piRNA from 1 species
UUAGCGCUAUCCAGUUCUCCCAAGUUCUGC